UGUAGGACUGCAAUGUGGACUUAAAGAUUAUAGAAGAAGACUUUGGGAAGAGUCGCCAAAGAGAGUAAGAGCCUCGUAUUCGAAAUAGUCUUUAUACCUAGCAGUAUCCUGAGUACGGCGAGACACGCGAAAUCUCGUCGGAAUCUGGGAGGACCAUCUCCCAACCCUAAAUACUCUCUAGUGACCGAUAGUGAACCAGUACCGUGAGGGAAAGGUGAAAAGCACCCCGGGAGGGGAGUGAAAUAGAACCUGAAACCGUGUGCCUACAAGAAGUUCGAGCCCGUUAAUGGGUGAGAGCGUGCCUUUUGUAGAAUGAACCGGCGAGUUACGUUAUGAUGCGAGGUUAAGUUGAAGAGACGGAGCCGUAGGGAAACCGAGUCUUAAUAGGGCGGAUUAGUAUUAUGAUGUAGACCCGAAACCAUGUGACCUACCCAUGAGCAGGUUGAAGGUGCGGUAAGACGCACUGGAGGACCGAACCAGGGCACGUUAAAAAGUGCUUGGAUGACUUGUGGGUAGCGGAGAAAUUCCAAACGAACUUGGAGAUAGCUGGUUCUCUCCGAAAUAGCUUUAGGGCUAGCGUCGACAUUAAGAAUCAUGGAGGUAGAGCACUGUUUGGGUGAGGGGUCCAUCUCGGAUUACCAAUCUCAGAUAAACUCCGAAUGCCAUUGAUUUAUGGUCGGCAGUCAGACUGCGAGUGCUAAGAUCCGUAGUCGAAAGGGAAACAGCCCAGACCACCAGCUAAGGUCCCAAAAUAUAUGUUAAGUGGAAAAGGAUGUGGGGUUGCACAGACAACUAGGAUGUUAGCUUAGAAGCAGCUAUUCAUUCAAAGAGUGCGUAAUAGCUCACUAGUCGAGUGACCCUGCGCCGAAAAUGUACCGGGGCUAAAACAUAUUACCGAAGCUGUGGAUACCUAUUAUAGGUAUGGUAGGAGAGCGUUCUAUGUGUGGUGAAGGUGUACCGUGAGGAGCGCUGGAACGCAUAGAAGUGAGAAUGCCGGUAUGAGUAGCGAAAGACAGGUGAGAAUCCUGUCCACCGUAAGACUAAGGUUUCCAGGGGAAGGCUCGUCCGCCCUGGGUUAGUCGGGACCUAAGGAGAGACCGAAAGGUGUAUCCGAUGGCCAACAGGUUGAUAUUCCUGUACUAGUGUAUAUAGUGAUGGAGGGACGCAGUAGGCUAACUAAAGCGGGCGAAUGGAAGAGCCCGUCUAAGCAGUGAGGUGUGGUAUGAGUCAAAUGCUUAUACCUAUAACAUUGAGCUGUGAUGGGGAGCGAAGUUUAGUAGCGAAGUUAGUGACGUCACACUGCCAAGAAAAGCUUCUAGCGUUUAAGUAUACACUACCCGUACCGCAAACCGACACAGGUAGUCGAGGCGAGUAGCCUCAGGUGAUCGAGAGAACUCUCGUUAAGGAACUCGGCAAAAUGGCCCCGUAACUUCGGGAGAAGGGGCGCUGACAUAAGGUCAGCCGCAGUGAAUAGGCCCAAGCAACUGUUUAUCAAAAACACAGCUCUCUGCUAAAUCGUAAGAUGAUGUAUAGGGGGUGACGCCUGCCCGGUGCUGGAAGGUUAAGAGGAGGGUUUAGCGUAAGCGAAGAUCUGAAUUGAAGCCCCAGUAAACGGCGGCCGUAACUAUAACGGUCCUAAGGUAGCGAAAUUCCUUGUCGGGUAAGUUCCGACCCGCACGAAAGGCGUAAUGAUUUGGGCACUGUCUCAACGAGAGACUCGGUGAAAUUUUAGUACCUGUGAAGAUGCAGGUUACCCGCGACAGGACGGAAAGACCCCAUGGAGCUUUACUGCAGUUUGAUAUUGAGUAUCUGUACCACAUGUACAGGAUAGGUAGGAGCCUAUGAAGUCGGGACGCCAGUUUCGACAGAGGCGUUGUUGGGAUACUACCCUUGUGUUAUGGCUACUCUAACCCGGAUAGGUUAUCCCUAUCGGAGACAGUGUCUGACGGGCAGUUUGACUGGGGCGGUCGCCUCCUAAAAGGUAACGGAGGCGCCCAAAGGUUCCCUCAGAUUGGUUGGAAAUCAAUCGCAGAGUGUAAAGGUAUAAGGGAGCUUGACUGCGAGAGCAACAACUCGAGCAGGGACGAAAGUCGGGCUUAGUGAUCCGGUGGUUCCGUAUGGAAGG
rnacentral:rRNA from 1 species